GGCGUGGGACGGGCAGCGGCGCAGGGCGGCGCGAGGCGGGGCGUCCAGCGGCGAGGCGCAGGGCGGGCAGCAGCGCAGGGCGCGGAGCGGCGCGGGGAGGGCAGCAGCGCAGGGCGAGGAUCGGCGAAAGGCGGCAACGGAGCGAGGUGGGGCGAGCAGGGGCGCGGCGGAAACGGCGGCGUGGACGAGUCGCUGGAGGGGAGCACGCAGCGGGAGUCGCCGGAAAUGGGGAAUCGGAGGGGGGAAAUUUAGGAAUUUUGAGAAAUAGAAGUGAAAGUUGUGUUGAAAAAAUGAAGGAGGAGGCGCGGUGAAGUCAUCUUUUUUUUAGGGCGCAGCAACGGAAUAGCAACGGAAAAUUCUGUUGCUAAGCAACGGACGUG
rnacentral:lncRNA from 1 species